GAGCGCCCCGCAAGGGGAGCGGCAGACGGGUGAGUAACGCGUGGGAACAUACCCUUUGGUUCGGAAUAACUCAGGGAAACUUGAGCUAAUACCGGAUACGUCCGUAAGGAGAAAGAUUUAUCGCCAAAGGAUUGGCCCGCGUCCGAUUAGCUAGUUGGUGAGGUAACGGCUCACCAAGGCUACGAUCGGUAGCUGGUCUGAGAGGAUGAUCANCCACAUUGGGACUGAGACACGGCCCAAACUCCUACGGGAGGCAGCAGUGGGGAAUAUUGGACAAUGGGCGCAAGCCUGAUCCAGCCAUGCCGCGUGAGUGAUGAAGGCCUUAGGGUUGUAAAGCUCUUUUGUCCGGGAA
rnacentral:rRNA from 1 species